AGCAGCCGCGGUAAUUCCAGCUCCAAUAGCGUAUAUUAAAGUUGUUGCAGUUAAAAAGCUCGUAGUUGAAUUUCGGGGUUCUACCGUUGGUCGGGCUUUGUCUGUACUGGCGUGUAGAAUUUCUACCUUCUGGGGAACCGUCAUGUUAUUAAUUUAACGUGGUGGGAAACCAGGACCUUUACCUUGAAAAAAUUAGAGUGUUCAAAGCAGGCUUAUGUCUGAAUACAUUAGCAUGGAAUAAUAGAAUAGGACGGUGGUCCUGUUUUGUUGGUUUCUGAAUCACCGUAAUGAUUAAUAGGGAUAGUUGGGGGCAUUAGUAUUCAAUUGUCAGAGGUGAAAUUCUUGGGUAUAU
rnacentral:rRNA from 1 species